rnacentral:lncRNA from 1 species
GCAUGUUUUGUAGCAGGUGGCUGAGAUGACUGGAACUGUGACAGAGCAUACAAAUUAUUACAUGGACAUUUAGACACAAGAAUAAGGCUUUCAUAAUGCACAAGAACUUUCUCUCAUAAGAAAACCACUGGAGCUCCUGAAUUUUGCUGUGCAAAUGGAUAAAUACUGACGGAAUACAUGUGGCUUGCAUCAGAUGUCCCAGCUCCUUCUCCAGCUCCAGGCAGUUUUGUAGGAAAAAGGGCAGGUUGUCUGGACUCCCUGUGGGCUUUGUGAUCAGUGGAUCAGCGUUAGCUGCUUGGUGUCCAUACAGCUCUCAGGAUGGAGAAGUCAAGGAUGAAGGAAGGACUGUCUCCUUGAUGACCUUGAUUAGAGUUGAUGGACAGCCUGGGGCUUCCAUAAGACAAAUUAUUUGAUGGCUAGCUUUUUCAGCUAAUGGAUGACACGGAAUAUUGCCUGAAUCCAUGAUAUAUAUCUAUGAACACCAAAUUCCUAGAUUUCAAGACCAUCCCAAUUGCUGGAAGUCAUCUUAAGAGGUAAAUAGAGUUAAGAUUUUAGGAAGAAAGCCCAAGUUUCCACUCUACCAAUAUUAAUUUAAUGUGU